GACGAACGCUGGCGGCGUGCUUAACACAUGCAAGUCGAACGGAAAGGCCCCCAUCUUGGUGGGGGUGCUCGAGUGGCGAACGGGUGAGUAACACGUGGGUGAUCUGCCCUGUACUUCGGGAUAAGCUUGGGAAACUGGGUCUAAUACCGGAUAGGACCAUGGUUUAGUGUCUCAUGGUGGAAAGAUUAUUGUUUUGGUGCAGGAUGAGCUCGCGGCCUAUCAGCUUGUUGGUGGGGUAAUGGCCUACCAAGGCGUCGACGGGUAGCCGGCCUGAGAGGGUGGACGGCCACAUUGGGACUGAGAUACGGCCCAGACUCCUACGGGAGGCAGCAGUGGGGAAUAUUGCACAAUGGGCGCAAGCCUGAUGCAGCGACGCCGCGUGGGGGAUGACGGCCUUCGGGUGGUAAACUCCUUUCGUUAGGGACGAAGCCGCACUUUUUUGGGGUGUGGUGACGGUACCUUUGUGAAGAAGCACCGGCUAACUACGUG
rnacentral:rRNA from 1 species